rnacentral:rRNA from 1 species
UGGUGGGUUGCCUUGUCAGGUUGAUUCCGGUAACGAACGAGACCUCAGCCUGCUAAAUAGUCGGGCGCACCUCUGGUGCGUUCCUCCGACUUCUUAGAGGGACUAUUGGCGUCUAGCCAAUGGAAGUGUGAGGCAAUAACA